CACGGCCCGGCGAGUGCUCCCCGGGCUGGCGAAAUGAACCAGACCCGAGAGCAAACAGCCACAUGCAAGCUGGGGUUAGAUUCCCCUCCCUGUGUAGGUGCUCGUGCAGGGGCCGGGAGCGGGCGGCAGCAGCGGGACAGACCUUUUUGCCAGAUGGGCAAUCACUGGAGGAUAAGAAGCCACAUUUGCAUCAUUAUUCUUCUGAUGAAUGCUCUUUGGUUUUGCCGUGUGGACACAAACCCGGAUGUAAUCACCUUACAGACAUUAAAAAAAAAAAAAAAAAAAAAAAAAAAAAAAAAAAAAAAGGAGAAAAAC